rnacentral:tRNA from 1 species
GCGGGCGUAGUUCAGUGGCAGAACAUCAGCUUCCCAAGCUGAUUACGCGGGUUCGAUUCCCGCCGCCCGCUCCA